rnacentral:rRNA from 1 species
CCUACGGGGGACUGCAGUGAGGAAUAUUGGUCAAUGGACGAGAGUCUGAACCAGCCAAGUAGCGUGAAGGAUGACUGCCCUAUGGGUUGUAAACUUCUUUUAUAUGGGAAUAAAACGUUCCACGUGUGGGAUUUUGUAUGUACCAUAUGAAUAAGGAUCGGCAAACUCCGUGCCAGCAGCCGCGGUAAUACGGAGGAUCCGAGCGUUAUCCGGAUUUAUUGGGUUUAAAGGGAGCGUAGGUGGAUUGUUAAGUCAGUUGUGAAAGUUUGCGGUUCAACCGUAAAAUUGCAGUUGAAACUGGCAGUCUUGAGUACAGUAGAGGUGGGCGGAAUUCGUGGUGUAGCGGUGAAAUGCUUAGAUAUCACGAAGAACUCCGAUUGCGAAGGCAGUUCACUGGACUGCAACUGACACUGAGGCUCGAAAGUGUGGGUAUCAAACAGGAUUAGAUACCCCUGUAGUC